UAAAAUCUGUUCUAAUUUCACUUGUCAAUGUUUAAGGAACUCUUUUGGUCCAGAAUCCAUUACUGUUGUCAAAGAAGCAUGUAAAUUAUAAGCAAAGGACAUCUUACCACGUGCACUUAAAGCAAGUGUCUUCUUAUGAUCUGCACUACACUGAUGUGUUUCACAGCUUACGUUCCUGCAACAACUCCGGUAGCACUGCGUCACUUUACGGCCAGGUACUUGAGCUCAGCUUGGUAACAGAUGAGAGGAUUCUGUUUACUGGUGCACAAUGAAGCAUUACUGAUUUUGCAGGAUGAUGGUUUCCAAGCAGCUGGCUAGGAAGAGAAAGUCCCAAUGAUGAAAUCUGAACUGGUUUACUACCAGUCUGCUGGCUGCGCAUCACACACCAAAUGCAAGGUGCGCACACGCACAGUGCACACCAAAAGGAAGCAUGGGGUGAAUUUUCAGAGGGCUUUUUUUAGCUGAAUUUUGUACAAUCCUGUCGAAGGCGACGAAGUUCCAAGUUUUCUAGACCCAGGAUAUCAAGUCUGGUGGAAUAAGGGAUGAAAAACUGAAAAGACAAUGGGGGAUGGAUGUGAUCCUGGACCACCGACUUCCCACUUCUGCAAUGGGAGAAGAGCAGGCCAUCAGCUGAAGAUCACUGCUGGGCUGAACCUUGUGGCUGGGAUGCUGGGAAUUGUAGCACACAGGAAAAAGCUGCUUCAGUGUCUAAUGCAUGUUCACGUGUACAGCAUCCGUCUGUAAUGCAUUGUAUGUGCCAACAAUCUGGAUAUGUCUGCCUUCAGAUUUCUAUCCUUAUUAAAUUUGUACAAGCUAGAAACAGACAC